rnacentral:lncRNA from 1 species
UUUUAGGUGGAAGAUAUCAACUAGAGAUAAAAAUACCAGAAACAUAUCCAUUUAACCCCCCUAAGGUCCGGUUUAUCACUAAAAUAUGGCACCCUAAUAUUAGUUCCGUCACAGGGGCUAUUUGUUUGGAUAUCCUGAAAGAUCAAUGGGCAGCAGCAAUGACUCUGCGCACAGUAUUAUUGUCAUUGCAAGCACUGCUGGCCGCUGCAGAACCAGAUGACCCCCAAGAUGCAGUAGUAGCAAAUCAGGUAAGAGCAGCUGAAAGGCUCUUAGAGCUCUGUGUGCAGCGCUGACGUUUGAUGUCAGCAUGUGAGAAUUCUCUGUUGGGACUAAAUU